AGUGAACGCUGGCGGUAGGCCUAACACAUGCAAGUCGAACGGCAGCACAGUAAGAGCUUGCUCUUACGGGUGGCGAGUGGCGGACGGGUGAGGAAUACAUCGGAAUCUACUUUUUCGUGGGGGAUAACAUAGGGAAACUUACGCUAAUACCGCAUACGACCUACGGGUGAAAGCAGGGGAUCUUCGGACCUUGCGCGAUUGAAUGAGCCGAUGUCGGAUUAGCUAGUUGGCGGGGUAAAGGCCCACCAAGGCGACGAUCCGUAGCUGGUCUGAGAGGAUGAUCAGCCACACUGGAACUGAGACACGGUCCAGACUCCUACGGGAGGCAGCAGUGGGGAAUAUUGGACAAUGGGCGCAAGCCUGAUCCAGCCAUACCGCGUGGGUGAAGAGGGCCUUCGGGUUGUAAAGCCCUUUUGUUGGGAAAGAAAAGCAGCAGGUUAAUACCCCGCUGUUCUGACGGUACCCAAAGAAUAAGCACCGGCUAACUUCGUG
rnacentral:rRNA from 1 species